rnacentral:rRNA from 1 species
AUUGAAUGCUGGCGGCAGGCCUAACACAUGCAAGUCGAACGAGUGGCGGACGGGUGAGUAAUGUCUGGGAAACUGCCUGAUGGAGGGGGAUAACUACUGGAAACGGUAGCUAAUACCGCAUACCAUCGGAUGUGCCCAGGUGGGAUUAGCUAGGAGGUGGGGGACAGGCUCACCUAGGCGACGAUCCCUAGCUGGUCUGAGAGGAUGACCAGCCACACUGGAACUGGGACACGGUCCAUACUCCUACGGGAGGCAGCAGUGGGGAAUAUUGCACAAUGGGCGCAAGCCUGAUGCAGCCAUGCCGCGUGUAUGAAGAGGGCCUUCGGGUUGUAAAGUACGUUCAGCGGGGAGGCGUUACCCGAAGAAGAAGCACCGGCUAACUCCGUGCCAGCCGCCGCGGUAAUUC